AACGUAGGAGGCAAGCGUUAUCCGGAUUUACUGGGCGUAAAGCGUGUGCAGGCGGUUUGGUAAGUCGGACGUGAAAGCUCCCGGCUCAACUGGGAGAGGCCGUUCGAGACUGCCAGACUAGAGGGUAGGAGAGGGAGGUGGAAUUUCAGGUGUAGCGGUGAAAUGCGUAGAUAUCUGAAGGAACACCAGUGGCGAAGGCGGCCUCCUGGCCUAUCCCUGACGCUAAGACACGAAAGCUAGGGGAGCAAACGGGAUUAGAUACCCUCGUA
rnacentral:rRNA from 1 species